GCCGGUGUGGUGAAAUUGGUAUACACGACGGAUUCAAAAUCCGUUGCAGCAAUGCGUGGCGGUUCGAGUCCGCCCACCGGUACCA
rnacentral:tRNA from 6 species